ACUAUUCUUUUCUUGGAGGUGCACUGGUGUCCAGUGAGCAUGUAAUGCAGGCAGUACUGCUAACACCUAAAUAACACGCCCACAUCAAGUAGAGUUUGGCUUUACCUUCAUAUGAAAAA
rnacentral:ncRNA from 1 species